CAGACACCAUGGUGCACCUGACUCCU
rnacentral:misc_RNA from 1 species